UACAGAGGGGGCAAGCGUUGUUCGGAAUUACUGGGCGUAAAGGGCGCGUAGGCGGCCUGUUAAGUCGGACGUGAAAUCCCUCGGCUCAACCGGGGAACUGCGUCCGAUACUGGCGGGCUUGAAUUCGGGAGAGGGAUGUGGAAUUCCAGGUGUAGCGGUGAAAUGCGUAGAUAUCUGGAGGAACACCGGUGGCGAAGGCGGCAUCCUGGACCGACAUUGACGCUGAGGCGCGAAAGCCAGGGGAGCAAAGCGGGG
rnacentral:rRNA from 1 species